AACGAACGCUGGCGGCAUGCCUAACACAUGCCAGUCGAACGAGACCUUCGGGUCUAGUGGCGCACGGGUGCGUAACGCGUGGGAACCUGCCCUUAGGUUCGGAAUAACUCCCCGAAAGGGGUGCUAAUACCGGAUAAUGUCUUCGGACCAAAGAUUUAUCGCCUUUGGAUGGGCCCGCGUUGGAUUAGCUAGUUGGUAGGGUAAAAGCCUACCAAGGCGACGAUCCAUAGCUGGUCUGAGAGGAUGAUCAGCCACACUGGGACUGAGACACGGCCCAGACUCCUACGGGAGGCAGCAGUGGGGAAUAUUGGACAAUGGGCGAAAGCCUGAUCCAGCAAUGCCGCGUGAGUGAUGAAGGCCUUAGGGUUGUAAAGCUCUUUUACCCGGGAUGAUAAUGACAGUACAGGGAGAAUAAGCUCCGGCUAACUCCGUG
rnacentral:rRNA from 1 species